rnacentral:rRNA from 1 species
GACGAACGCUGGCGGCGUGCUUAACACAUGCAAGUCGAACGAGUGGCGAACGGGUGAGUAACACGUGGGUGAUCUGCCUUGCACUUCGGGAUAAGCUUGGGAAACUGGGUCUAAUACCGGAUAGUGCAAGAUGAGCUCGCGGCCUAUCAGCUUGUUGGUGGGGUAAGGGCUACUAAGGCGCGACGGGUAGCCGGCCUGAGAGGGUGUACGGCGACAAUGGGGCUGAGAUAUGGCCGAGAGUCCGACGGGAGGCAGCAGUGGGGAAUAUUGCACAAUGGGCGGAGGGCUGAUGCAGCGACGCCGCGUGGGUGAUGAAGGCCUUCGGGUUGUAAACUCCUUUCGACAGGGACGCGGUACCUGUAUAAGAAGCACCGGCUAACUACGUGCCAGCAGCCGCGGUAAUUC